GACGAACGCUGGCGGCGUGCUUAACACAUGCAAGUCGAACGAAGAGCGAUGGAAGCUUGCUUCUAUCAAUCUUAGUGGCGAACGGGUGAGUAACGCGUAAUCAACCUGCCCUUCAGAGGGGGACAACAGUUGGAAACGACUGCUAAUACCGCAUACGAUCUAAUCUCGGCAUCGAGGAUAGAUGAAAGGUGGCCUCUACAUGUAAGCUAUCACUGAAGGAGGGGAUUGCGUCUGAUUAGCUAGUUGGAGGGGUAACGGCCCACCAAGGCGAUGAUCAGUAGCCGGUCUGAGAGGAUGAACGGCCACAUUGGGACUGAGACACGGCCCAGACUCCUACGGGAGGCAGCAGUGGGGAAUCUUCCGCAAUGGACGAAAGUCUGACAGAGCAACGCCGCGUGAGUGAUGACGGCCUUCGGGUUGUAAAGCUCUGUUAAUCGGGACGAAAGGCCUUCUUGCGAAUAGUGAGAAGGAUUGACGGUACCGGAAUAGAAAGCCACGGCUAACUACGUG
rnacentral:rRNA from 1 species